rnacentral:rRNA from 1 species
UCGCCUGUUUUAUCAAAAACAUCGCCUCUAGUUACACAUGAGAGGUCCAGCCUGCCCAGUGAUUUAAUUCAACGGCCGCGGUAUCCUAACCGUGCGAAGGUAGCGUAAUCACUUGUUCUUUAAAUGAGGACUAGUAUGAAUGGCACCACGAGGGUUAUACUGUCUCCUUUUUCUAAUCAAUGAAACUGAUCUCUCCGUGAAGAAGCGGGGAUAAAUAUAUAAGACGAGAAGACCCUAUGGAGCUUUAAACAAUUAUAGCACUAGCCCUCAUUUCUACUCUUCAGAGACAUAAUUAAUAUACCGGCUAACAUGACUAUUAGUUUUAGGUUGGGGUGACCGCGGAGCAAAAAUUAACCUCCACAUUGGAAGGAGCUACUCCUGAGCUAAGAGCUACAACCCUAAGCACCAACAAACUGACAUUAAUUGACCCAACAUGUUGAACAACGAACCAAGUUACCCUAGGGAUAACAGCGCAAUCCAUUUCAAGAGCCCCUAUCGACAAAUGGGUUUACGACCUCGAUGUUGGAUCAGGGUACCCCAGUGGUGCAGCCGCUACUAAAGGUUCGUUUGUUCAACGAUUAAAACCCUACGUGAUCUGA